rnacentral:RNase_P_RNA from 1 species
GGAGUAGGCGAGGCGGUUGCUCCUUCUUCUCAAAAGAAGUAAGGGGAGGAAAGUCCGAACUCCAAAGGGCAGGAUGGUCGCUAACAGCGACUCCGAGCGAUCGGAGGAAAGUGCCACAGAAAACACACCGCCUCAGAAGAUGAGUGUUUCACUCUUCUUGUGAGGUAAGGGUGAAAAGGUGAGGUAAGAGCUCACCGUCCUGAUGGUGACAUCAGGAGCUUGGUAAACCCCAUCCGGAGAAAGACCAAAUUGGCCCAUUCAGAGGCGGCCCGUCUCAUGGGGCGGGUAGGUCGCUCAUCCCCUUGAGCAAUCAAGAGGUUAGAUAAAUAACCGCCCCCGCCGGGACUCCGGCGGGAACAGAAUUCGGCUUACGUCCUGCUCCAGCC